rnacentral:rRNA from 1 species
CCAAUUGAUUGAUGGUGCUUGCACCUGAUUGAUUUUGGUUGCCAACGAGUGGCGGACGGGUGAGUAACACGUAGGUAACCUGCCCAGAAGCGGGGGACGACAUUUGGAAACAGAUGCUAAUACCGCAUAACAGCGUUGUUCGCAUGAACAACGCUUAAAAGAUGGCUUCUCGCUAUCACUUCUGGAUGGACCUGCGGUGCAUUAGCUUGUUGGUGGGGUAACGGCCUACCAAGGCGAUGAUGCAUAGCCGAGUUGAGAGACUGAUCGGCCACAAUGGGACUGAGACACGGCCCAUACUCCUACGGGAGGCAGCAGUAGGGAAUCUUCCACAAUGGGCGCAAGCCUGAUGGAGCAACACCGCGUGAGUGAAGAAGGGUUUCGGCUCGUAAAGCUCUGUUGUUAAAGAAGAACACGUAUGAGAGUAACUGUUCAUACGUUGACGGUAUUUAACCAGAAAGUCACGGCUAACUACGUGCCAGCAGCCGCGGUAAUACGUAGGUGGCAAGCGUUAUCCGGAUUUAUUGGGCGUAAAGAGAGUGCAGGCGGUUUUCUAAGUCUGAUGUGAAAGCCUUCGGCUUAACCGGAGAAGUGCAUCGGAAACUGGAUAACUUGAGUGCAGAAGAGGGUAGUGGAACUCCAUGUGUAGCGGUGGAAUGCGUAGAUAUAUGGAAGAACACCAGUGGCGAAGGCGGCUACCUGGUCUGCA